rnacentral:rRNA from 1 species
GACGAACGCUGGCGGCGUGCCUAAUACAUGCAAGUAGAACGCUGAAGGAGGAGCUUGCUUCUCCGGAUGAGUUGCGAACGGGUGAGUAACGCGUAGGUAACCUGCCUGGUAGCGGGGGAUAACUAUUGGAAACGAUAGCUAAUACCGCAUAAGAGUAGAUGUUGCAUGACAUUUGCUUAAAAGGUGCAAUUGCAUCACUACCAGAUGGACCUGCGUUGUAUUAGCUAGUUGGUGGGGUAACGGCUUACCAAGGCGACGAUACAUAGCCGACCGGAGAGGGGGAGCGGCCACGCUGGGACUGAGACACGGCCCAGACUCCUACGGGAGGCAGCAGUAGGGAAUCUUCGGCAAUGGACGGAAGUCUGACCGAGCAACGCCGCGUGAGUGAAGAAGGUUUUCGGAUCGUAAAGCUCUGUUGUAAGAGAAGAACGAGUGUGAGAGUGGAAAGUUCACACUGUGACGGUAUCUUACCAGAAAGGGACGGCUAACUACGUG